rnacentral:rRNA from 1 species
GAUGAACGCUGACAGAAUGCUUAACACAUGCAAGUCAACUUUGGCGGACAGGUGAGUAACGCGUAAGGAACUUGCCUCCCAGCUAGGGCCACCAUUUGGAAACGAAUGCUAAUUCCUGAUACUGUUAGAGAGCGUUGCUUCGCAUUAGCUAGUUGGAGAGGUAACGGCGCACCAAGGCGAUGAGGGGUAGCCGGCCUGCGAUGGUGAACGGCCAAAAGGGGACUGAGACACGGCACUUACGCAUACGGGAGGCAGGAGUGGAGAAUAUUGGACAAUGGACCAAAGUCUGAUCAAGCAAUUCUGUGAGAACGAUGAAGUUUUCGGAAGGUAAAGUGUUUUCAGUUGGGAAGCGGUACCAACAGAAGAAGUGACGGCUAAAUACGUGCCAGCAGCCGCGGUAAUUC